GCCAUGGGUACGUGGGUGGAGGAAAAGCCUGGUAGCACGGCCGGAGUACGGGGAGAGUGAAGCUAAUGUGCCAGUCGUGAGCGCGAUUCUGUCGCGCCGCGUACUUGAGGAGCCGCACGCGGCGAAGAAGCGGCGUAACGGAGGGCUGAAAGAAGCGCGACGGAAGAGGGAGCCUUUCCCCCCUUUGAAAAAGAAGACCGGGACUCCUCUAUCUCGCCCGUGGGGAUCGAGGGGCGCGUUCAGUCCGUCCACGUUCGCUGUCGGGAACGCGACCGGAAGACAAAUCUUCCCCGCGAGAGAGACCGCUUCUUUUUCUUCUUCUUCUUCUUCUUCCUAUUCCAGAAGGCAGGAACUGAACGGAGAAACUCCCUUUUCGUCGAACUGUAAGAGGCAAAGUCGUCUUCCGCGGUUCUAUGAAUUUUCCCCCAAGUUCUCAAUCAGUCGUCACGCGCGACUUCGAUUGUUGUGAACAUUGCGAAUUUUUGCGAAACAAUUUCGAGUGAGUGGUUUCGGAGCAAGUUAAUACUUUCAAGAGGACGAGAUUACCGGCAAUUAGAAGAUCGCCGUAGAAAGUCCUCUCUUUGGGAAAAGAGUUCAAGGAACGAGGCACACGAAAAAAAAAAAAAUAAUAAUAAUGUUUCGCGGAAAAGAACGGUCGACAUCGAUUGGUGGAUGAUUAACGGCUGAACGAGAGGUCAUACAACCGCGGGACUCGCCGGCGCGAAAAGGGAAAAGGGAACGGAGUGGUUGCUGGUCGACGGAAGGCUGGUGGUCGUCGUAUGGGGAGGAAAAGAGCGAAGAAACGCUAGAGUGUGGCGCGCGAGACGAGAGAUCGCAAUGAAAGUCAAUAAACCGUGAUGAGUAACGGAGAGUAUAGUGGUCGGAGUGGCAUUAAUAAAUUAGUGUCUACUUGCUGCUACAAGCAACAGCAGCGGCAGCAGCAGUAGCAGGAGUUCGGAGGAGGAAGAGGACAAAGAGGAGGAGGUGGUGGAGGAGGCGACGGAGGAGGUGGAAGAGGAGGAGGAGGCGCGGACCUCGAGUGUGUGUGUGUGUAUGUGUGUGUGUGUGUGUGUGCGUCGGUGUGCGUGCGUGCGAAUACUUGUGACCAGCCGUGUCGAUGCGCGGGGAUUUGGCCAGUGUGUCAGUGUGAAAGAAGACAAUUGACUCGCAGCCGCCGUCCGUCGGACGGUGCUCAGCUCGGCGGGGGCCUUCUGACGUCACAUCCUGCCCCGCGGCCUGUACGAGAGCCGCGAUCUCAUCUGGACCGCGGCGAACGAAGCGAAUGAGGAACGAUGAUCUACCGCGACAAAAGGAUCCUCGGGAUCCUUGUCCUGCUCAACGUAAUCGCAAAGAUGCCGGCGAAUCAGACGGAUUCGCCGAAAACGGAUAUCAUCGAAGAAACGGAAGAAUUUACUACAACCAAAAGGAUUCUGCCCGACAGAUGUCUUGUCAAGACAGAACCGGGACCCUGCAAGCACUACGUACACAAAUGGACUUUCAACAAGGCCGAAGGAAAGUGCCGAACUUUUCCUUACGGCGGGUGUUUGGGAAAUGAAAAUCGAUUUAAUUCGGAAGCGGAGUGCCUCUAUUAUUGCAUCGGUGGUGCCGAUCAUACGCUACCGCCUUAUCUUGUAACAAAGGGCAGCGUAUUUGUCGCAACGAGCACCACGACAAUGAGCACUCCACCCUCGACAACCACUAGCACACCACGACCGACCUUUACACCCCCGAAACCGACGAAACCGCCGGUACCGAGGCACCUACGAGGAAAGGAAUUGACUUUCAUGGAAUCUGGUCACGAGAAAACGUUUAUGUUCGCACAAAGCAAUACUUUCAUCCAGCUCGAUGGCCCUGGCAUCAAAACCUUCCAAUUGAGAUUAUGUCGCGAGAUAUCCUUCAAGUUUCGCACCAAGCUUCCACACGGUUUACUAGUUUAUCACAGUGUCAAAGAUCGCCCGGAGAGCCUCGACCCUUACGCCCUUUAUGUAAUAGUAGAGAAGGGUCAGUUGAAAGUUGUUCAUGUAUUCGGCAAACAGUCGACCAGUUUGAUAGUCGGCCAAGGGCUCAACAGAGAUGAGUGGCACAGCGUUCUCGUGAGAAUAGAUGUACACGGGGCAAAGUUAAUCGCCAGAGUCGAUGAUAAGCAAGCCGAAACUACUCUGAAAGUUUUAGAGCGCAUCGUUAAUUACGGUGUGUCCGAAGAACUGGCCUCGGUCGUUCUUAUCGGAGGUGAGCCUUCUUAUGAAAAAUCUCUUUCCCCACGGAGAAUUUUUUUUUUUUUGCAUCUUUAUCGCUUUAAUUUCGUUUCCACAGGGCUGAGUUCUGAAGAACGAUUGCAUGGAGUGAAAUACAUAAUAGAAUCUUUCGUCGGCUGCAUCAGGGAUAUGGUUCUGAGUUCCGGAAAAUCCGCCAGCGAUUUACUGCCCAUUCGACCACUAAUCGCGACAAAGCACGAGAACGUUAAGGAAGGAUGUAUCGAUAAGUGCAGGACACGAGAGAACCUGUGCUUCGUUCCUGAUCAAUGUGUGAAUCACUACAAUAGUCUGACGUGUGAUUGUUUCGGCACGAAUUACGAGGGUGAACGUUGCGAUGUGUACACCGCGACUAUACUGACGCUCAGAGGCUCCUCGUACGUGUCCUUUCGCGUGUACGAUUGGAAGGAUCGUGUUCACUCGUCUGUCAACAGGAUCAGCCUCGCUUUUAAGACGAAAUGGGACAAUUCCGUGUUGUUUUACGCUUCCGGCGAAAUCGACGGCACGCCGCAUUACAUUGCAGCUUCCAUUGUAAACGAGUCAGUUCACGUUGAACUUGAUUUCGGGCAUAACUCGAAGAUCUCCACUACAUUGGGCGAUUACGUCACGUCCGACCAUUGGAACAACUUGUCCAUAUUUCAUAAUGGAUCCUCCGUCCUCGUCAGCUUAGACGACGAGGUCAAGAUACUAGAGAUACCGGGAGAAAAUUGGGAUAUGAUCAUCGAUCCGGAGAUAUACAUCGGUGGUGGUCCGGAGCUCCACAAGAAGAAGGGUCUUUUGUCACACAAUAAUUUUGCAGGUUCGUUGAAGUAUGUGUUCUUCAACGACAAGUCGAUUAUAUACGAAUUGAAGCGCUCCAACCCUAUGGUACACUACAUCGGUGUGCUGGAACCGGAAUACUACGAAGCCGAUGUCGAAGUCAUUCCGAUCACGUAUCCUUUCGCGGGAAGUCAUAUCUGGUGGCCGAUCGAGCGAACCGAUUCGCUGAAGUUAAACUUUGACUUUAAAAGCUCAAUGCCGAUUGCGAUCGUCGCUUCCGGAGAUGUGAAGAGCAAUCGCGGUAUUGGUUACUGGGAGUUACGUCAAGUCAACGACGAAAUUCGUUUCCAAUUGGUACCAGUUUUAACGGAAAAUGUAACGGUAUCAACUUCGGUGAAGUUUCCGCCUUACAACACGUCUUGGCACGCGGUCGAACUUAAUUAUACAAAGGGUGAACUCAAUAUCCUCCUUGAUUACAGAAAUAAGCAGAAUAAACUUUUCGCUAUGACGUUUGAGCUAGGAGAUAAAGUCAUUAUAGGAAGUGGCAAAAGUAACGCGGGUCUAGUAGGAUGUAUGCGCGAGAUACGAGUGAACGGUGAAAGAAUCGAACCUAGAUACGUAAUUAACACCGAGAGAGUGGUCGGAGAAGUCGCUUUAGACAAUUGUCAAUUUGUGGAUCCGUGCAAGAGGCCGAACACUUGCGAACAUGGCGGUAAAUGUUCGGUCAAAGAGGACAGGAUCACGUGCGAUUGUGCAGACACUGGAUAUAUUGGAAAGAACUGUCACUUUGCACAAUACAGAAAAACUUGCGAGGAAUUGGCUCUUUUGGGAUACACGCAAGAUGACGUUUAUAGAAUCGACAUCGAUGGAAACGGACGAUUUCCGCCCGCCAUGGUAAAGUGUGAAUUCCAAUCGAUUGAAGAUUCGACUAAAACGAUCGUCGAGCACAAUUUACCCUCCCAAGUGGACGUCAGAUCUAUUAUCGAGAGCGACUUCUCCUUCAGCAUCAAGUACAGGCAGUUCACCGCCGAAAUGCUGCAGGAGCUGAUCUCGCACUCGCUUUAUUGUAGCCAGUACGUAAAGUACGACUGUUACAAGGCACCCUUGGAGCUGCACAGCGCCACGUGGUUCUUAGGUUCCAAAGGUACCACCGUCGAUUACAUCGGCAACGUCAAUCGCGGAUCCUGUCCUUGUGGAAUGAACAGAACAUGCGUGAACUCUAACUUGAGCUGCAACUGCGACGUGUCUGCCGGAACCGCCGGAAAGUGGCUGUCAGACGAGGGAUACUACGAAACACCCGAUUCCUUGGGCAUCACCGGGAUGGUAUUCUUGCAACAGAGAGAUCUCGAGGAAGAUGCUCGGGGACGUAUCACCCUAGGACCAUUGGAAUGCGUUGAAACAAAUACACAAAAAUACGUGGUAACGUUCACGACGUCGCAAUCGUACAUCGAAGUGCCUGGUUGGAGGAAGGGUGAUAUAGCCUUCAGCUUUCGAACGACAGGCGAGAAAGCUAUUCUUCUGUAUCAACCACCGAUACGGAGCAACUAUCCUUCUUUCAUGGUCGCUCUAACGUCGGAAUAUCGGUUGACCUUUAAUUUUACCCUGAAUACCGGUACCAAUCGCGAAUUACAAGUGGAAAGCCGUCGAAAACUGAAUAAUGGCGAGUGGCAGAAGAUUUGGAUCGACUACAAUGACUAUCACGUGAGAUUUAUGAUCAACACUGACUUUCGAAUGGUGGAUUUCUAUUCCGAAGAGGAAUUCGGGCCCUUCGAGGGGUCUAUGUUCAUCGGCGGUGCUACUGCAGAGCACUUGAAGACUUCUUCCGUUCGACAAGGUCUCAUCGGUUGCUUCCGCGGUCUCGUUGUCAACGGAGAAAUAUUAGACAUCCACAGUUACAUGUCGGUACACUUGUCGGAAAUUAUUAAAGACUGCAAGCCUUCAUGCCAGCCUAAUAAGUGUCAAAACGGCGCUAGGUGCGUCGAGUUGUGGAGCAAUUUCGAAUGCGUGUGCGAAAAUCGAUGGGCACACUUAGGCACUUAUUGCGAGACAAACAUCAACAAUAAAGCUUUAACAUUUACCUCACCCGGAGCGUUCUUGAAGAAGAAUUACUUCGGAUCGGACGACAACGAAGAAAGGUUGCAGCUAAAAAGCAUGCUACUGGAAAAUAUUUUAAUUAAUUUAAGAACUUACGAUACCCAUUCUCUGAUACUUUAUGCGAACGAUCAUUUAAACAAUUUCGUACACCUGUACAUUUCGAACGGCACCAACAUCGUGUACCUUUUCAACGCUGGCAACGAAAUCAAGAAUAUCACUGUGGAAAAUCCGAAUGUCAACACGGGAAUCUCCAUGCAGAUUGCUAUAAUUCGAGGCGAGAAUUGGACCACGUUGUUCGUGAAUGAAUAUAAUGUCACGUUAAACGCGACACCGAUACUCCUAGACUCGUACUCGAAUAAGCCUUGGACGAAUCCAGAGAAAGAAGUUCUUGCACCGCAGCGACCGCCAGCACCUCCCACUGAUUAUUUCCAAGUAAAUUUAGGAGGAUUUGAUCCUGAUAAUCUGCUCAGAGUCGGAAAAGAAGGCGCCUUAAUUCAAGGUUACGUUGGUUGUUUGCGAGGACUCAUGAUCGGCAAAUAUCUCGUCGAUCUACCGAGCUUAGCUAGCGAAGCGAAUCACGAAGGGAGUAAAGGUGUUCUGCCUAAUUGUCAAAUGAAAUGCGACACGAUGCCCUGUAAAAAUUUAGGAAUCUGCACGGAGGAUUUCGGCAGGCAAGAAUCUUCUUGCAAUUGCGAGUUGACGUCCUAUUUCGGCGAACAUUGUGCCGAUGAAAAGGGCGCCGAUUUCAGCGGGGAAAGUGUACUGCAGCGCGAAUUCGAACUCGAGGGCGAGGUGAAUCAGGUGAAAGUACAGCUGGCAUUCUCAACGAACGAACUACGACAGCGAACCACCGCGUUGCUGCUGGUACAGACUGACAACAAAAGGAGCUACUACUUGUUGGUGGCCUUGACGUCCGAGGGACAGCUCAUCUUCGAAGAGGACAGGGACGGCUCGGCGGCCGGAGUACGCCUAAGCGAUCGGAAUUUCCUGAACGGUGCACGUCACAGCGUCUACUAUGUUCGCGAUAACAACACGGCUGUUCUCUUAAUUGACCGUGAGCCCGUCCAAUUGCUACCGAUUCCAGGAAUACCGAUACCAGAUGAGGACGAAACACCGGGUGCCACGGAGAUACAGCUUGGUGGAUUGAACACCACCGAUUCGCGAUUUAGCGCCUACAAGGGAUACACCGGCUGUCUCAGCAACGUCGUGAUAUCGAUCAAUGGAGGCGCCGACAUGAAACCGUUAGAGGAAUAUAUGCUCUUUACGAAGCAGGGCAGUGAAACUGUGCGGGCUACGAUACCUGCCGGCGUUAGAAGCGCUCAAUGUGCGGUUUUCCAUGUUCAACCAGGUGGUCUUGAACCACCCAAGAACGACAGCGUGGGCCGUGAUAAAGCGUGGGUCGAGGAUCCACCGGAAAGGAUCCUAUAUAAAUCGCAAUAUUCGGGCGCCACUCAGGAAGAGCAGGGUGCAGGAACGUACAUCUUUAUAGCCCUGUGCUGCGUCUUCGUAGCCGCGGUGAUCGGAUGUAUUUACGAGGUGUGGCGAAGUGCGCGCAAGGAUCGCCGACGACGUCGCGACGCGGCCUCGGGAGCGGUCGCGACCGCCGCCUCCGGUGGUUCGCAGAGGUGGCAACCGCAACAGUACACGGAAUCCCUGGUCACCGCGACCGGCGUGAAAGCAAUCGGCUUCAAGAACGUGAUGGACGACGACAAGAGGCCGAAUGGAACUCAUGUGAAAGUGCCCAAUGCCAAAGAAUACAAACCACUGCCGAAUUCGGAACCAAAGGACUUAAUGAACGACAAGAAAGUUCACAUUAAAGCAGACGAAGAACCAGAGAAAAAGGAGCUCCUAGGGGUAAAUACAGGCAUCGUCAUUAAACCUGUGAAACCGAACCCAUUCUCAAUGGAGGACCUAAGGGAAGAACCCGAACUGGAAGAACGCGAGGAAGAGGAGGAGGAAGAGGAAGAGGAAGAGGACACCCAAGAGCAGGAGGUAGACGAAAACAAAGAUGAACCUCAGGAAUAUCAGCAAGAGGAGCAAAAGGACGCGAGUAAUGAUCAAGACGGCGAGCUUCUCGUUAUGCCGCACAGGGAUUGGUCUAAUGUUGAGGAGAGCGUUAUACCGUUAGACUCCAUUUUAAAACCCGACGAAACGAAAACAUCGUGCGAAUUAUAGAGGCGCCUGUGGACGGAGACAUUGGAAGACAAUCGAAGAUGCAAGGAAACUACCUAGCACCAGGCAGGCCGAUAACUUUCAAUACGUCUCCUAUCUUCUUGCCGGACGGCCAACGAACUUUCGGCAAUCCAUUGAGCUAUCUCGGUGGUCCAAAAUUACCAUCGAGGAAUAGAUCCUCUAUCGAAUCAGUGUUAUCACUGGACUGAUCGUGGAUCGUCCGUACUUUGCUCUAAAGGACUAUUGUGAACAUCCACAGGAACAACGAAAUCGUAUUCCUCAAUCAAAUCGGAAAGUCUCGAACGUGUUGAGUGCCAAAAUCAUAAAUAUCACUUGUACAUGUUUUUUAAUAUACACGUUAUUAUAUCAAAUAGAUUAAGAGAAAAAAAAGAAAGAGAGUCGUGUUUAGAUUAUUCGAACAGUACAGAAAGUCUAAAAUACGUCAAAAAGACGCUUGUACAUUUGAAACAAAUAACAGACAUCUUUUAGACUUUUGAACAAUUAAUCGUUCGCUAUAAUAAUUGCUACAAGAAAUGUCUGUCGAUUAAUUAACUUAAUGAAUGUUAAAGAAUGCACUUAACACAUUUGACAUUUUCCAUUUUUGGUUCAUCAUUCAUUAUCGCAGAGUUAUCCGCUUCUCAAAAAGGCUCGUGUUAAUAGCUCAUCACACUGAGCUAUAAGCUAAAAAUAGUUUCAUCAAAAGAGAUUCGCUCGGACCAAUAUUACGAUCGGCGAAUUUUACUCGUGACAAGACGUUAUAGUUGCUACAAUAAAGAUUUGAAACGUGAUAACGAGCUUAACAAUAGUGACUAGUGAUCGUGACGGACGCGAUACGUUCUCUUUGCAGCUGAUGAAAAGCUGUCGUGCUCAAAUAUAUCGUUCUAUACAAUCUCAUGAAGGUGCUUGUAAAAAAUAUCUUGUAAGUCUGUAGGAUAAUAAUUUCUUAUCUCUAUUAUUGUAAAGAGCGAGCUCAUAAAACAGUUUCUCCAAUCUUGAAGAAUCUCAAAAGUAUAAAGAAAAGUCCACUCUUUUUUUUUUAUCCUUCAUCUCCGCAGAAUUUUAUGCAGUCAUGGAUUAUUAUGGCAAAUGAGUUCCAAGCUGCAGGUAAUUUCGAUUCAUAUUAACUUAAUUCAAGUUUAGAUAGAAUCGUUUUAAAGAAAAGUUUUAAUUAUAUAAUCUGAUACUAAUUUUUUCCAUGUAAUAAAGAAUAAAAAAUUAAUAAUUUUAUUCAUUAAAAAAAUAAUAUGGGUAUAGCUUGACAAAAUAAUCACUGAUUGAGUUAUUUAGAAUUUGUCAAAGUUACUCCGAAAUCAUCGAUAAACAUAAAUUUAUCGAUAAAUUAUCGAUAUAUUAUCAAUAACAUAUUAUCCGGUGUGUAACAAGGCGUACCACUCUACGCCGAAGGAUUCGCCUAAACGAUAUGCAUGACUUCCGGUUACCGGUACUAUCGGCUUAAUCAUAUAUGUUAAUUGCCCGCGCGAACUAACAGAGAUCGAAUAAUCCUUUUAGUAUUUCGAGAUUAAUGGUGAAGACGCUUUUGUUUUUAUAAAAUAAAUGUAUUAAAUAUCUGUAUAACAGAAAGCACGUUUAUCUUCUCGAUGUAUUAAAUGUUUGAUUUUAUUUUAUAUAAAAACGAAUAUAACUUUUUUAAAGAUAAUAUUAAACUUAUUGUUGAACAAGCUUUUCUGUUCUAUUUUCGUAAUUUCCGAAAUAAUAGUCGGAUUUUAAUUAAUUUCGCAUACAGCUGAAAGUUACCAUUAAAUUUUCGAUUUUACGAUAAAGCACAAAAUAUAAAAAUCACCGAACACUAAUACUAUCUUUAACUGUUACUUCUAGCACAAAAGGUUGUGUCUGUAAAAUUUCUUUUGUUAUUAAAUUUCUUACCUGUAAUCCUCCUCGUUGCUGGCAUAAUCGGGCAGUAUAAUAUAAUAAUAAAUAAAAAAUAAAUAAAUAAUGUAUAGAUGAGUAUUCUUGUAUCAAAGACAUGAAAUAAUCUUAGUGAAUAAAAUUCGCUGAUAAAAAUGUGUGAGGAAAUUCUUGGAAAGCAAGAUAAUAAAAGGCAACAUUAUUUUUAUUUUAAACAGUAAAUUUGUCGAGUUUUUCUCUACUACUGUAUUAAUAUCUUAUAAUCAAGGUUGAGUGAGUUUAUAGAUUUUUUUUUAACUAAUUAACUUAAACUCAGUAGUUAAUAAAAUUAAUUUAAUUAUGUUAAAAGUAUACAUGAACAAAAAAUCAAUUAGUUAAAAGUAACAUUAAGAUAUAAAAUUAAUUUAAGUUAAAUUAAAAGUUAAUUUUGAAAAACAUUGUUCAUAUUAAUUUUUAAGUAGAUAAGUGGAGUGGUCGUAACACUUCCGAGGUAAUGUAGAAAUGCAGGAUUAGAAAUUUUGUCCUGGAAAAGAAAAAUAAAAAGCAGUUCACAAGUA